UUUUCUUUUUAAUUACAAUAAAUAAACCUACUUCAGAUGAAAACUUUCCAACCACAGAGGAAAAUGAAACCAUACCUGACCAGACAAAGUUAGAUCACAUGGAGGAGGUGGAUCUCACACCUGAGGAGACAAAACCUAGUGAGAAUCUUCCAGCAGAGGAGCCAGAAGUUUUGAUUCCAGCAGCAUCAGAAUGUGUUAAUUCUAACUAUAAAAGAGUGGAUCUGGAGGGCACUCGACCGCUGGCUGCAGAACGCCUGGGGAGCACUGGACCACCAGCAGAACACAUUGGGAUACCGCCACCUGCGGGACCAGCAAAGGGCACUGGGAUACCGCCACCUGUGGGACCGGCAGAGGGCACUGGGAUACCACCGCCUGCCGAACCGGCAGAGGGCACUGGGAUACUGCCGCCUGCUGAACUGGCAGAGGGAAGUGUCAGCCCUGUAACAGAAAUAGUCAGGAAAGUACAAAGUAACGAAGAGGACCAACUCAUUGAGGGUAAGACGGGAGAAAAAGAGGAAACUGAGAAGCACAGUGAGCUAGUAAGUGAGGGGACUGAAACAAAAGAAGAAGAAGAAACAGGAGAAGCUGUGGAUGCUACAGCAGCAACAGAUAGAUCCUCCUGCUUUUUGUUACUAGCAGUUGAAUUCAGCAACAUAACACUAGGAUAAGUGCAAAUUCCAGAGUCAGUGCAAUCAUGUGGGUAAGUAGAAAGCAUGAGCUGAUGAGAGAAUGUUUAAAAACAAAUAAAUGAAAAAUAAUAAAUGUAGGGGGAUAAGAA
ensembl:lncRNA